CUUGUACUCCCUCCGUCCGAAAAUACUAGUCAUUGAAAUGGAUGUAUCUAGAUGUAUUUUAGUUCUAGACACAUCCAUUUUGAUGACAAGUAAUUCCGGACGGAGGGGGUACUUG
rnacentral:pre_miRNA from 1 species